UAGAGUUUUGAUCCUGGCUCAGGAUGAACGCUAGCGACAGGCCUAACACAUGCAAGUCGAGGGGCAGCACGGUGUAGCAAUACACGGGUGGCGACCGGCGCACGGGUGAGUAACGCGUAUGCAACCUGCCUACUACAAGGGGAUAACCCGUUGAAAGACGGACUAAUACCCUAUAACACAGGGAAUCCGCAUGGAUAUAUUUGUUAAAGAUUUAUCGGUAGUAGAUGGGCAUGCGUUCCAUUAGCUUGUUGGUGAGGUAACGGCUCACCAAGGCAACGAUGGAUAGGGGAACUGAGAGGUUGAUCCCCCACACUGGAACUGAGACACGGUCCAGACUCCUACGGGAGGCAGCAGUGAGGAAUAUUGGUCAAUGGACGAGAGUCUGAACCAGCCAAGUCGCGUGAAGGAAGACGGCCCUACGGGUUGUAAACUUCUUUUGUAAGGGAAUAAAUAGUCUUACGCGCUAAGACGUUGCAGGUACCUUACGAAUAAGGAUCGGCUAACUCCGUGCCAGCCGCCGCGGUAAUUCA
rnacentral:rRNA from 1 species